UCAGCAACGGGACAUCUAGCCAAACAGGGAUGAUCAGAUAUCAAGAAUCAGUAACCUACACCUGCAAUACUGGCUACACACUGAGUGGAGUGAACACAUCAACAUGUACAGCUGAUGGUACUAUACUAUCACCCAGUUGUCUAGCUGUCAAUUGCACAGUACCGAAUAUCACAAAUGGGCAGCAAGCUGUAUCGGAAAUAUCUUUCCAGCAAACAGCCAACUAUUCAUGCAGUGCUCAUCAUGUGUUAGUUGGAGAUGCACAGCCAACAUGCCAGGCUAAUCGCACGUUGACUUCAACACCCACAUGCAAAGCUGUGACCUGCCAGGUACCAACUAUCAGCAACGGGACAUCUAGCCAAACAGGGAUGAUCAGAUAUCAAGAAUCGGUAACCUACACCUGCAAUACUGGCUACACACUGAGUGGAGUGAGAACAUCAACAUGUACAGCU